rnacentral:rRNA from 1 species
CUACGGGGUGCUCCAGUGGGGAAUAUUGCACAAUGGGGGAAACCCUGAUGCAGCAACGCCGCGUGGAGGAUGACGCAUUUCGGUGUGUAAACUCCUUUUAUAUCCCAAGAUAAUGACGGUAGGAUAUGAAUAAGCACCGGCUAACUCCGUGCCAGCAGCCGCGGUAAUACGGAGGGUGCAAGCGUUACUCGGAAUCACUGGGCGUAAAGGAUGCGUAGGCUGGAAGUCAAGUCAUAAGUGAAAUCCCACGGCUCAACCGUGGAACUGCUUGUGAAACUGGCUUCCUAGAAUGUGGGAGAGGUAGAUGGAAUUAGUGGUGUAGGGGUAAAAUCCGUAGAGAUCACUAGGAAUACCGAUUGCGAAGGCGAUCUACUGGAACACUAUUGACGCUGAGGCAUGAAAGCGUGGGGAGCAAACAGGAUUAGAUACCCGUGUAGUC